rnacentral:rRNA from 1 species
UACGUAGGUGGCAAGCGUUGUCCGGAUUUACUGGGCGUAAAGGAUGCGUAGGCGGACAUUUAAGUCAGAUGUGAAAUACCCGAGCUUAACUUGGGUGCUGCAUUUGAAACUGGGUGUCUAGAGUGCAGGAGAGGUAAGUGGAAUUCCUAGUGUAGCGGUGAAAUGCGUAGAUAUUAGGAAGAACACCGGUGGCGAAGGCGGCUCUCUGGAACGGUACUGACGCUGAGACGCGAAAGCGUGGGGAGCGAACAGG